UACGAAGCGGGCUAGCGUUGCUCGGAAUCACUGGGCGUAAAGGGUGCGUAGGCGGGUCUUUAAGUCAGGGGUGAAAUCCUGGAGCUCAACUCCAGAACUGCCUUUGAUACUGAGGAUCUUGAGUUCGGGAGAGGUGAGUGGAACUGCGAGUGUAGAGGUGAAAUUCGUAGAUAUUCGCAAGAACACCAGUGGCGAAGGCGGCUCACUGGCCCGAUACUGACGCUGAGGCACGAAAGCGUGGGGAGCAAACAGG
rnacentral:rRNA from 1 species